rnacentral:rRNA from 1 species
UACGUAGGGGGCAAGCGUUAUCCGGAUUCACUGGGUGUAAAGGGAGCGUAGACGGCCAUGCAAGCCUGGAGUGAAAGCCCGGGGCCCAACCCCGGGACUGCUCUGGGAACUGUGCGGCUGGAGUGCGGGAGGGGCAGGCGGAAUUCCUGGUGUAGCGGUGAAAUGCGUAGAGAUCGGGAGGAACACCAGUGGCGAAGGCGGCCUACUGGGCUUUAACUGACGCUGAGGCACGAAAGCAUGGGUAGCAAACAGG